rnacentral:tRNA from 1 species
GAAGGUAUAGCUUAGUGGAAGAGUGCAUAUUUACUAUGCACGAGGUCCUGGGUUCAAUCCCCAGUACCUCCA